UCUCUCAGUUAUACACAUCAACAACCAUGAAAAGGUAGACUCUCUCUCUCAGUUAUACACAUCAACAACCAUGAAAAGGUAGACUCUCUCUCUCAGUUAUACACAUCAAUAACCAUGAAAAGGUAGACUCUCUCUCUCUCAGUUAUACACAUCAACAACCAUGAAAAGGUAGACUCUCUCUCCCUCAGUUAUACACAUCAACAACCAUGAAAAGGUAGACUCUCUCUCUCUCCCUCAGUUAUACACAUCAAUAACCAUGAAAAGGUAGACUCUCUCUCUCCCUCAGUUAUACACAUCAACAACCAUGAAAAGGUAGACUCUCUCUCUCAGUUAUACACAUCAAUAACCAUGAAAAGGUAGACUCUCUCUCUCAGUUAUACACAUCAACAACCAUGAAAAGGUAGACUCUCUCUCUCCCUCAGUUAUACACAUCAAUAACCAUGAAAAGGUAGACUCUCUCCCUCUCAGUUAUACACAUCAACAACCAUGAAAAGGUAGACUCUCUCUCUCUCCCUCAGUUAUACACAUCAAUAACCAUGAAAAGGUAGACUCUCUCUCUCCCUCAGUUAUACACAUCAACAACCAUGAAAAGGUAGACUCUCUCUCUCCCUCAGUUAUACACAUCAACAACCAUGAAAAGGUAGACUCUCUCUCUCAGUUAUACACAUCAACAACCAUGAAAAGGUAGACUCUCUCUCUCCUUCAGUUAUACACAUCAACAACCAUGAAAAGGUAGACUCUCUCUCUCCUUCAGUUAUACACAUCAAC
rnacentral:lncRNA from 1 species